AUACAAGGCAAAGUGAAUCUCGCUCUUGGAGUAUAUUCUUCUGUCUGCUCUGCUGAGGCAAGCAGUAUUUCUGACUUCAGCGGAGACCGAAAAACCAAAUUGAAAUGACUGCUGGGAUCGAUAGACUGAGGGGGAAAAGGCACUGCCAAACCAAAAUUGCCAAAGAAGCCUCUCCUUUCCAUUCGGCACUAGUCUGCUCUAUAAAGACAUCUGCUGAUGACACACUUCGGGGAGGCCUGCUCAAGCAGAGACUGGUGGAGAAUCGCUAUAACGAGAUUGAACCACAUGACUGCUUGCUGAAGGAGCCUGAAGCAGGCUCCCACACAACCUGCUGCCAAGCAGGGUGCCACAAAGCUGAACAACCACUACAAAAAUGCCCUUACACUAUUCUACAAGACGCGGCCUGGAUGGCCAGGGUGGCAGAUACCAUUAUAAAAUGAAAUCCAGCUGACAUGUUAUUUCUAUUCCCACUCAACAGGCAAAAACUACUAUGCCAUGGGCUGCUCUUCUUUCCAAAUAAUACGGGACAGAUCAUUCUAUCCAUUUUCUACAGCUUUUGGUCAAAAGGACAAGAGAAGAAGAAAACGUUCAUGUUCCUAGAGGUCGGAGUCGCCGCACAAACACAGAUGAAGCGCAUCACCUUUCGCCAGCACGGCACAGGUCCAGCAGCUGCCUCUUCCUGGUCCGAAACUCCACUAUCUGCCUAAUCUCUUGCAGGUGGCCAUCACAAACACAACAAAAUCAGCCACUACUCUCAGGUGCACGACGUCCAGGGAGGAGCCGCUGCAUCAUGCUUCCAUCUGUUUGGCACAAACAGUCUGAUGCACAGAGGCUGAGCUAACACAGCCCAGUUGCAGUGAGACAUGGUUAAGAUUCACAGUUCUAUCACUACGACCAGCAUGUUCCCAGCUUACAGCCAAGCGGGUGUGAAAUUAUGCAAAUAUAUGCUUCCCGUCUAUCAUUUUUUGGCAAAUUUGAUGGCCCAAUUUCUUUAACAUUAUCCUUUAUAGAUUUAUUAGCAGGUUUGAGUGUGGUAAAAUGUUGAGGCAAACUUUCACAAUGGCACGAGAUUAGCUUCUCUGGUUUUCCUGAAGGAAUGUUUUGGGUUUGGUUUAGUUAAUCUCAGUCUACGAAAAAUAAAAAUUGUUACAAGUGAAGCACUCACAGUAAAACUAAAGUGAAUAGGGCCAUUUUGUAAAUAUGAAAAUAGCCACUGCUUUAACAGUGCACGUCAACGUCAACAACACGCAUGAUGUUAGUUUAAAAACACUUUGUAACAUUUUCCAUCUUAAAUUAUAUCUUAUUUUACAACUUUAUUGCCACAACAACAUAAAACCAUAAAACAACUGUAAAAAUGAUGAUUUUAAUAGCGUUACAGCUAAAAUAAUAAACAAGUUUUAAUUGAAUAAUAAUUGUAAGUGCUUUUAUAGAACUAUAAGCUUUCCAUUUGCGCUUUUAAAUGCUUCAAAAAUUGGCCCAUUCGCUUCCAUUGUAACUCCAUUUUUGCUUUUUUUAAUAUCCUAAUUCCUAAGUCCUAAUUAUUUUUCAUCUUAAUCAGCAUUACCAGACAAAUACAGUCAACUGCGAUUCUCAUGUAAAAAGUUGUGCAUGUAGCUCAAAAUUCAUCUAACAUCCACCUGUCUUUGUCACUCCCAAGUUAGUAGACUGAUGCACGGAACUUGACUAAAGAUGAAAUAUGGGAGGCUGGUUAGGCAUACUAAUACCCUGGAUUCAUUAAAUUAAUAGGGGUCUUAUUCCCCUUACCAUGGGUUCACAGAUGCCCUUUGAGUUUGCCGGGGCUAGAGGGUGUGCAGCACUUUGAAAGCCCUUACCGGCAUAUCGAGCGCAUUUUAAUACAGUCCUUUUGAGGCUCCUGGUAGGAUGCAGAGUAACUCCUCGCCUUUAAGUUCCCGCACCUCUCCAUGUGAUCUCGUCAGAUAGCCACGGCUGUGUCAGAUCAGGCCCAGGCUGCACAUACACUAGGGGGAUGGGGAGGGCCAUGCAAGGCAAAUUAGACCAGCGGUGUUCGUUUCUAUGUAGAGGCCAUUCUUUCCCAAAGACGUGAGUCCUUGAGAAGCAAGCGCUCAGGAGUGCUUUGAUGUGGAAAGGUGCCCAGUUUAAGGCUCUGAAACAGGAGGCUUUGGGAGAGAUUCAGUAGGAUUCCCUUCGGUGAUCAGCAGGGGAGGCUGCCCUCUCGUUGGUCAACAGCGUAUACUGUACAGAUUUAAUUACGCCAAGAAUGAAGUGCGUAGUCCAAAGAAAUCCUUGAUGCUGCCCGUUAUGACUGUCACAGCAUAUUCAAAACCAUCAAGCCACAAUAAGAGCCGAGCUUGGUGAUCACAGCCCGAAAAAUCAAAGAGGCUUCAGAAAACAACAACAAAAGGAAAUGCUAUGAAUGUUCUGGGAAAACAAUAUUGUUUUUCACUGCAGUUGCGCCUUUGCUAAUCUUACAAAUUUUUAAUGCACAGAAUCGGCACAAGGACAAAUAGCAAAGGAUUUCAAUGACAGCACAACACAUAAUCUACUUGUUUCGGUCUAUGAGCUUCAAAUAUAGGUUUAAUUAACAGACACAAAAUAUAAUGGCAUGCCAAUAUCCCUUUAACCAACAAUAAUACAACAGCCUUUUCAACAAGACCAAAAAUUUUUAAAGACACUACAAAGACAUUGCAGUGCAACUGAUUCAUAGAAACAGGAGGCUUUUACAGCACUUGGUUCUAUGUUACUGUAUGCAAUGGCUGGAUUCUCCACCAUAAUUCAGUUAAGGUAAAUUAAAUAAACAACCAAUAGCUGUUAACAAGGUUCUUGCUGUCACUGAAAAUGGCAUCUUGUAUUUGUUUACAGGCCAGCUAAAUGAUUUUGAAGCAAUGUUGUUUGCAACUGCAGAGAUUGUGGCUUGGUUAGAAACCAGGCACACACC
ensembl:lncRNA